rnacentral:tRNA from 1 species
CCUUACUGACGCUAUUCUUGCGAGUGUUCACACAGAUUGUAUAGGUUGAAGUUAUAAGAGGAUAUGUUCCCAAACAUAUCAGCGUGUCCCAUUCGUCUAGAGGCCUAGGACACCGCCCUUUCACGGCGGUAACAGGGGUUCGACUCCCCUAUGGGACGCCACUUUAUAAAUGCAUUUACGAAUGUGAUUACAAAGUGGUUUGUCUAAUGACAAACGACAUGCUCUUUAACAAUCUGGAAAGCUGACAAGUCAUUCUUUAAGAAUGACAGUAAAGUUCUCAAUCAGUGACAUAUCAUGUCACUCACACAAUCAAGUGUGCUUGGACUUUGUCUUAUUGAAUCAAUAACGACAAAGCUUCUAUUUGAGUCCGGCAAAAACAAAACCUUAGUUGUUUAAACCGUUUGUUUUCACUUUUUAAAAGUGAAAGUAAAUAAGCAAGACCUUUUGGGGUUGUAU